CCUACGGGAGGCAGCAGUGAGGAAUAUUGGUCAAUGGGCGGAAGCCUGAACCAGCCAAGUAGCGUGCAGGAUGACGGCCCUACGGGUUGUAAACUGCGUUUAUACGGGAAUAACGCGCCUUACGUGUAGGGCUUUGCAUGUACCGUAUGAAUAAGGACCGGCUAAUUCCGUGCCAGCAGCCGCGGUAAUACGGAGGGUCCGGGCGUUAUCCGGAUUUAUUGGGUGUAAAGGGAGCGGAGGCGGCAUGUCAAGCGUGCUGUGAAAUGUCCGGGCUCAACCCGGGCCUUGCAGCGCGAACGGGCGGGCUUGAGUCCGCGGAAAGCAGGCGGAAUUCGUGGUGUAGCGGUGAAAUGCUUAGAUAUGACGAAGAACCCCGAAUGCGAAGGCAGCUUGCUGCAGCGGAACUGACGCUGAUGCUCGAAAGCGCGGGUAGCGAACAGGAUUAGAUACCCUAGUAGUC
rnacentral:rRNA from 1 species